GGCCCUAUCGUCUAACGGUUAGGACGCAGGAUUUUCACUCCUGUAAUCCGGGUUCGAUUCCCGGUGGGGUCA
rnacentral:tRNA from 1 species